UACGUAGGGUGCAAGCGUUAAUCGGAAUUACUGGGCGUAAAGCGUGCGCAGGCGGUCUUGCAAGACAGAUGUGAAAUCCCCGGGCUUAACCUGGGAACUGCAUUUGUGACUGCAAGGCUGGAGUGCGGCAGAGGGGGAUGGAAUUCCGCGUGUAGCAGUGAAAUGCGUAGAUAUCGGGAGGAACACCAGUGGCGAAGGCGACUACCUGGCCUGUUUCUUGACGCUGAGGCGCGAAAGCUAGGGGAGCAAACGGG
rnacentral:rRNA from 1 species